GUGUGAAGAAGGCCUUAUGGUUGUAAAGCACUUUAAGCGAGGAGGAGGCUACUUUAGUUAAUACCUAGAGAUAGUGGACGUUACUCGCAGAAUAAGCACCGGCUAACUCUGUGCCAGCAGCCGCGGUAAUACAGAGGGUGCAAGCGUUAAUCGGAUUUACUGGGCGUAAAGCGCGCGUAGGCGGCUAAUUAAGUCAAAUGUGAAAUCCCCGAGCUUAACUUGGGAAUUGCAUUCGAUACUGGUUAGCUAGAGUGUGGGAGAGGAUGGUAGAAUUCCAGGUGUAGCGGUGAAAUGCGUAGAGAUCUGGAGGAAUACCGAUGGCGAAGGCAGCCAUCUGGCCUAACACUGACGCUGAGGUGCGAAAGCAUGGGGAGCAAACAGGAUUAGAUACCCUGGUAGUCCAUGCCGUAAACGAUGUCUACUAGCCGUUGGGGCCUUUGAGGCUUUAGUGGCGCAGCUAACGCGAUAAGUAGACCGCCUGGGGAGUACGGUCGCAAGACUAAAACUCAAAUGAAUUGACGGGGGCCCGCACAAGCGGUGGAGCAUGUGGUUUAAUUCGAUGCAACGCGAAGAACCUUACCUGGCCUUGACAUAGUAAGAACUUUCCAGAGAUGGAUUGGUGCCUUCGGGAACUUACAUACAGGUGCUGCA
rnacentral:rRNA from 1 species